rnacentral:rRNA from 1 species
AUGGCUCAGGACGAACGCUGGCGGCGUGCCUAACACAUGCAAGUCGAACGGAGUUGAGGAGCUUGCUCCUAACUAGUGGCGGACGGGUGAGUAACGCGUGAGUAACCUGCCUCUGAGAGGGGAAUAACGUUCUGAAAAGAACGCUAAUACCGCAUAACACAUAUUUGCCGCAUGACAGAUAUGUCAAAGAUUUUAUCGCUCAGAGAUGGACUCGCGUCCGAUUAGUUAGUUGGUGAGGUAACGGCUCACCAAGACCGCGAUCGGUAGCCGGACUGAGAGGUUGAACGGCCACAUUGGGACUGAGACACGGCCCAGACUCCUACGGGAGGCAGCAGUGGGGGAUAUUGCGCAAUGGGGGCAAACCCCCUGACGCAGCAACGCCGCGUGAAGGAUGAAGGUUUUCGGAUUGUAAACUUCUUUUAUCAGGGACGAAUUUUGACGGUACCUGAUGAAUAAGCUCCGGCUAACUACGUGCCAGCCGCCGC